UUCUGUGUUCUGGGCUUUUUGUUUUUUCCCCAGGAAGAAAGAAAUUGUCUGGUUUUCUUCAGAUUUCCGAAAAGAUCUGUGACCCUAACCUUGGACUCUGGUGACAAUAGGUGUAACCUUGCAUAGUGCCAGACAAACUGCUUUACCCAAGGAGCACCUGCUCCACACCAACCAACUGACCCACCAUCCAGCCGAUCAAACAGCCAACCAAUCAACCAACCAGCCAACUGACUAGCCAACCAAGCAACCAAUCAACCAACCAAUUAACCAACCAACUGUCUAACCAACCAGCCAAUUAGCCAACCAGCCAACCAACCAACCAACCAACCAGCCAACCAGCCAACCAAACAGCUAACCAAUAAAGAAAUCAGUCAACUGACUAGCCAACCAACCAAACAACCAAUGAACCAGCCAACCAAACAGCCAGCCAAUCAACCAACCAGCCAACUGACUAGCCAACCACCCAGCCAACCAAUUAACUACCCAACCAACCAGUUAACCAACCAGCCAGGCAACCAACCAACCAAUCGGUUAGCCAACUAACCAACCAGCCAACCAACCAACCAACCAGUUAACCAAUCAAUUAACCAACCAACCAGUUAACCAACCAAUUAACCAACCAACCAACCAACCAUCUGGGAGUUACUCCUGAAAAGAAAUAUAGUUGGAAAAAACCUCAGUUGACAAGGUCAAGAAUUAUCAGAAAGUAUAGGAUUGGGGUAGAAAGACUUUAAAAAAAAUUAAGUGCAAAUUUAAAGCUACAAUAAUAAAGUUUACAAACGUCA